UCCGAACAAAAAACAAAACAAAUUAAUAUGUUUGAAAUUUUCAAAAAAGAAUUUCUUCAAUAUCAUGAAAUAUUGAUAAAUAAAGAAGGCAAAUACGAAAAUUCCAUAAUCUGGUUGCAGCAAAAAUUAAAUUAAUUUCAUAAAUUAGAAUUUAUUAUACAUCAUGUUAUCAUAUUUCUAUUCAGUUACAUACAUGUCAUUAUUACUAUAUAUACAUAUUGUGCACUAACAAGUACUAACUUAUCAAUAAAAUGCUAUAUACUAAUGUUAACGAGGCCGGGAUAAGGUACCGGUACUUCUUGUAUCUCUAACAAAUGUAAAAUUCAAAUAAAAUAUUAUAACAUUCAAAAAAAAAAAAAAAAAA
rnacentral:lncRNA from 1 species